GAUACACAAACGUCCAAGCAAACGUCAGAUCGCGCGGCACUGCUCUAUGUUUUUGUUUUUCUUUCCUGUUGAUGGUGCGCGAAAUUUGUGCUGCUUUUUCUGUUAGUACGGCUACUUACAUUUCUGUACUUAUUAGAACUACGACUCGGAGAAACGGUGUCUAGACAAGCAUAUCUACAAGCAUAUAAAGCAUAUCAACUGAGGAAAGGCGAGCAAAAGGCACUACUGCAGACUGCAUCGUAUGUCACAAAAUCCGCCCAGUCCAGCUACUCGUAUAUAAAUUUUGGUGAAGUACGACGAUGAUGAAAAUGGAAAGAGCAACCAAAAAGCUGAUUCACUUCUGUGUAACUACGACGACAGCUUUAAAGAACGUAAGUUUUUGGCGCAAUUUUGUUACAACGACUCAACAGAAGCGAAUUCAGCAAGGUUAUGAGAGCAACAUUUAGCGUAUAUUCGGAUAUAAAGCUGGCUAAAAUUCUGAAUAAAUAAAAACAAGUG